CUAUUACUAAAUCACAGACCAAGUCGAAUCGAUCGACUCGAUUGAUCCCUGGACUCCACGCGCGAGUUGGCGCCCUAUAUAAGUUCAUCAAUCCCUCCGCAACAGAUUUUUGGCAAAACCUUGGACUCCCGUGCCCUAGCUCGUCGUUGGCUCAACCUUGGAUCUCGCCGGAGUCCGCCACCGCAGAAGCUCCUUCGUCGGUCUUUUCUGUCGACGCAGAAGGGGAGCACUAGAACGAGCACAAGGACCUCCGCCCGAAGAAGAAGUCGCCGUCGCCGCUCCAGCCGGACCGCACCGACGUUAGCAGAAGCCCCGGCCGUUCCCGAGGAAGGUUUCGAGUUCACCGCCUCUCUCUGCUCGUCGUUCCUUCAUCCCCGAGCGCCAGCAAGCCCCUUAGCCAUCGCCGUCGUCGAAGUCCGAGACGCCGUGGUUCUUCUUCCCCAAGUCUGGCGCCUCCUUCCUGUUCUUUUCCAAUUGUCCGGAGUGCGAAGCGGAUCGGAAUUAAUCGUUAGAGUACUACAACAGCGUUCAAGGCAAGUUUGCACUUUUGAUUAUGCUCAUCCUAUAUUCUGCUAUGCAUGUGUGGUUUUAUGCUAUGAUAUAUGCCUGGCUUGAUAUGUUGUGACGCCCGGAUAAUUA